CUGGUUAUAAUUUUUCAAAGUUUCACUUCCCUAAGGGUCUAGUUAGGGAAUAGUAGUAGCUCCGUUAAAACUAUACGGAAGACUACAGGGAAAUAAGACUAUGUCGUCGCGAUAGGAUAGAACAAGGACGAUACGUUGAUCGGGUUUUUUAUACGGGUUAAAUUUAAAUUUCGAAAGUACCAGAAUAGUUUAUUGUAAACGGGGACGUGGUGAACGAUCUGAGCUCUACGUAGUUCACGACCGACAUCUUGUCCGCGGUGACUCUCGGCUAUCUUACGAGCGUAUUUUUGAUAGUAGCGGGAUCUUCCGCACGGUGGAAGCUGCGUAAGAUAUAUUUGUAUCUGGAAGUUUACCAUAAAGUGUAAAUUGGCGGCGAGCAUGUUUGGACGAUCCAUCUGGAGAAGUGGGUUGUGGUGACCGGAAUGACGACGGGGAGCAGCAAGAGGACUAACGAGAAGAAGGAAAACAGCUUGUUUUAUCGCUGACAAUGAGAAAUCUCUUGAAUAUCUCGUUGGCUGCGUGCAAGCGUGGAAGAAAAAGUGUGAAAUAAAGCAAGAAGUAGCAGGGAGAAGUAGCGCGUGAAUGUGUAAAUAAGAACGUGUAAACGAAAGCGUUAAUGAAAGCGUGUUUGAAAAUGUGAAGCGUUCUGCGGGAAGCAAGUAAUGAUAAAAGCGUUGAAGUAUAGGGUGAAAGGACGAGGUGUGUAAUAAAGAUGCGUAAAUGAAAUAAACGCGUAUCUAAUCUGAAGGUGCGAAAGAUGGAGAAGGAAACGUAAUAGCGAUGUUGAUUUAGCGUGAGAGUUUAUCGAAACAUCGGUUAGCUUUGUGAAAAUAGUGAAAUAUGUAUAAAGAUCAUAGGUUAGACGCGUGGAAGUUGACGUAGGUAAGAAAGGAAUUAAAAGAGAGUAUAAAAUGAUAUAACAGGUAAUAAGUAAGGAAAUAUAAUUUUAAUUAAUUAUAAUUUAAUUUUUAGGAGACUAAAGAAUAAAUAAAGAUACGUUUAGAAGAUGUA